rnacentral:lncRNA from 1 species
AAUUAUACUUGAUUUAUUUUACAGUAUGAGUUAUAAAUAUCUUACUUAAAAACUUAAAAGUGCUUAAAUAGUUCCAUAUUUGUCAUUCGAUUAUUGUAUGUUAUUUAUUUGCUAUUAGCAAAGCCUUAGUGUGAUGUUAUUGAGGUACGAGGAGAUUUAAAACCAGAUCAAGGUGCUCGACCUGAAGUCUCAAGAGUUCAAACAAGAAUCAGAGAUGAUGGAGCAAACCAUCAGCACUAUGCCAGAUGUUAUAGUGGAGCUACAGUAAGAAAUACUGUAAACAAUACAGUAUAUUUUUGACCAUAUAAAUAUUAGACUUCCAUGCUUGUUUUUAUUUGUUGUGUUUUUCAGGGGUUUGUCAAACACUAUGGCGUUCAAACAUGGGACAGCCACAGUAGUGAUGGGUAAUGUGCACAGGGAUAUAGCUUCCUGUGAACAGAGGGAGUCUCAUCACGCACAGAUUCACUCAACGCCGGGCUGUCAUGAAGGACACAGAGGGUAAUCUACAGGAAGCAACUAAAAUUUUACUUCAAUCUGAAGUUGGCUCAAGAGUACCGAGAGUUGCAGAAAGCUCUGAUGAUUGCCAGACAAGAAGCUGUUUGUGUUUUUGACAUAAGAAACAGAGCAGAGGCCUACAUCCAAGAUCACAAGCAGCUUUCUUUGUUGCAGAAGAGGAUGCACAAAGCCAUGCUAAAAUACUUCAAACGCCGCAGCGUCUACAGCCAGGCAGAGCUGGCCCGCUUCCAGACCCUCUCCAACCAGAACAACCAGAAAAUGAAAGCCCUCCAGAUGACUCAACUACCAGCCAUCUCCCGCAGCAAGCAAACAGACCCGUCGCAGAUGCCGAUGGAUGGAGCAGGAAGAUGCCUACAGUUCAGAUAGCGGAGUAAUUGGACGCUCACCUGCGCCAGACAACUUACUUAAACCCCCAGCAUGCUUCACUCUCUCCCCUGUCCGACGCUCACGGCCCAAUCCAUAACAAUGAAGCAGGUGACUUUCAUGCUACUGUCAGGAAUGAUCUAAUUUUAGCGGGGUGAAUGAUUGCAAUUGGCUUUGCCUCAUCAGAUAAUUAAUCUAUGUCACCAUUAAUUGGAAAAGAGAAUAAUUAGGGGGCUGUGUUGACAGAAAUUCUACGCUUCUCUAGAUUCUUGGAUCUAAUUACACCUACUUAAACCCCUCUGACCUUAACUAGCGGAUAGUAUACCUGCGUAACCCUAACCAGGCUCGGGUUGGUCUCGACCGCCUCUCGCUCUGUGUCCUUUGUCAUUUUUUUCCUCCUUUCUUGCUUGUUUAUCCUCUCUUUUCCUGUCUCCUCAGAGAGCUGUCUCCCUCAAUCACUUUUCAAUAUUCAAUCUUAAUUUUGUGGAAGUUUAGCAUUUUCAAUGAGCUGGAGAUGAAUGAUUAAUGAAUAAAUUUGAAUGCUUCAUUUUGUCCAUGGAUCAUUAGUCAAGUCCUUUGUGGGAAGGACCUGCGAAAAAAAAAAAGAGGGAAAAUUAUUGAGACAUUAGCCUGAAGCAAUCCAGGGGUAAAUAUGCACAGAGGGAUGUUGUGUAUACGCUACCCACUGGCAUUCUGCACAACCCCACGGAAAUGCAAGCCUUCUAAUUUACCCCGCUUCACAAGACUGAUG